rnacentral:rRNA from 1 species
GGACGAACGCUGGCUGCGUGCUUAACACAUGCAAGUCGAACGCUGAAGCCGGGUGCUUGCACCCGGUGGAUGAGUGGCGAACGGGUGAGUAACACGUGAGUAACCUGCCCCUGAUUUCGGGAUAAGCCCGGGAAACUGGGUCUAAUACCGGAUAUGACCAAUCCUCGCAUGAGGGUUGGUGGAAAGUUUUUUCGAUCAGGGAUGGGCUCGCGGCCUAUCAGCUUGUUGGUGGGGUAAUGGCCUACCAAGGCGACGACGGGUAGCCGGCCUGAGAGGGCGACCGGCCACACUGGGACUGAGACACGGCCCAGACUCCUACGGGAGGCAGCAGUGGGGAAUAUUGCACAAUGGGGGAAACCCUGAUGCAGCGACGCAGCGUGCGGGAUGACGGCCUUCGGGUUGUAAACCGCUUUCAGCAGGGAAGAAGCGCAAGUGACGGUACCUGCAGAAGAAGUACCGGCUAACUACGUGCCAGCAGCCGCGGUAAUACGUAGGGUACGAGCGUUGUCCGGAAUUAUUGGGCGUAAAGAGCUCGUAGGUGGUUGGUCACGUCUGCUGUGGAAACGCAACGCUUAACGUUGCGCGUGCAGUGGGUACGGGCUGACUAGAGUGCAGUAGGGGAGUCUGGAAUUCCUGGUGUAGCGGUGAAAUGCGCAGAUAUCAGGAGGAACACCGGUGGCGAAGGCGGGACUCUGGGCUGUAACCCACACUGAGGAGCGAAAGCAUGGGGAGCGAACAGGAUUAGAUACCCUGGUAGUCCAUGCCGU